UACAGAGGUCUCAAGCGUUGUUCGGAUUCAUUGGGCGUAAAGGGUGCGUAGGUGGCGGGGUAAGUCAGGUGUGAAAUCUCGGGGCUCAACCCCGAAACUGCACUUGAUACUGCCUUGCUCGAGUACUGGAGAGGAGAUUCGAAUUUACGGUGUAGCAGUGAAAUGCGUAGAUAUCGUAAGGAAGACCAGUGGCGAAGGCGAAUCUCUGGACAGUUACUGACACUGAGGCACGAAGGCCAGGGGAGCAAACGGG
rnacentral:rRNA from 1 species